rnacentral:rRNA from 1 species
AUACGUAAGUCCCAAGCAUUACCCGGAAUCACUGGGUGUAAAGGGUUCGUAGGUGGAAGAAUAAGUUGGAUAUGAAAGACCGGAGCUCAACUUCGCGUUUGUGUUCAAAACUGUUUUUCUAGAAUCAGGGAGAGGUAAGCGGAAUUUUAAGUGUAGGGGUGCAAUCCGUAGAUACUUAAAAGAACACCAAAAGCGAAGGCAGCUUACUGGAACUGUAUUGACACUGAGGAACGAAAGCGUGGGUAGCGAAAAGGAUUAGAAACACCAGUAGUCC